UCGCUUUGGCAGCUGAAAUACUAAAAUUGGAAUAAUACAGAGACGACUAGCAUGGCCCCUGCACAAGGAUAAUACGCAAAUUCGUGAAGCAUUCUGAAAUAAC